GAGGAUGUGGCUCAAGCGGUAGCGUGCUUACCUGGCAUGCACGGGGCCCUGGGUUCAAUCCUCAGCACCACA
rnacentral:tRNA from 1 species